UUUUAAUUUAUUUGUUCCUACAAUAGAGGAAACAAAACACAUUAAAAUCUUUUGCUUAAUGUAUUGAUUUUGUAUUUUAAAUGCAAAAUAGAAAACGUAAAAAUUAAUUGAAAUGGAAAAAAGAAGAAUGCAGAAACUGGAGCCAACCAUCUAUUUUACAUAAGCUUUGUGUAAAAGAAAGUGAAGACUAAGAAUCCAUCUGGAGAUGCUAAAGAAAGACCAAUUUUUUAGCAGCUGUAAGAGAAACUUUGCUUCAAAUGAGAGAGUCCCUUCAAAAUGGUCACCUUGGAAAGUGUGAGCCCUGCAGAAGUGUUAUGGAUGACUGCAAGAGCUGCUAGUGGAGGUCUGUAACAUGGAAGAUGCUCUUCCUUUGAUCUGAGCCUUGAGGAUAACUGAUGCUCAGGGACAAUGCUUUUACCUCCUGAAGAGCAUCCUCAGAGUCUGGUCCACAGUCCACGGAGUGAGGUUGAGGACCCAAAAAGGUAGCCUCAUUCUUGAUUUUGGCUGUCAAGAGGAUUUUAAAAACUGAGGUUGAAAAGGAGUUGGUAAUUGGCUCAGGAGUUCAUGGACGCAAACCCUUGACUGGAGCCCAUGAUGUCACCUGGAGAGAGAGACAAGUAAGUGUGACUCUGGCUUAUGCUGGAAGCAUGUGGUGCCACAGAGAACAGUGCAGGAUUUGGCAAGACCUCUUGGAGAGCUGGACCCCACACCUGUGGGGAGGGAGACAUGAGUAUUGUGAAUCUGAUUCUUGCUCCUGCUGGUCCUGAGUGAAGUCCUCACCUCAGGAGAGUCGGGCGCUCAUCUCAGAGAAAAUACCCUUCUUGGUGGAAGCAUACAGACUCCCUAGAGAGAAAUGUACUAUAGAUGCUGUAGCUCAAGGAUAAAGACUUUAAGAAACAUCAAGGAAAACCUAAAAAAUUACUUAUUAAAUCAAUCCUGGAGUUAGAGGCUUAGGUUUUUUGAUGUAUUUUUCAGGUCUCUGUUCAAUUGACAUUAUAGGUCAGAAGUUAGGAGUAUGAACUUUGGAGUCAUACUAACUGAAGUUUAAU
rnacentral:lncRNA from 1 species